rnacentral:rRNA from 1 species
AGCGAACGCUGGCGGCAGGCCUAACACAUGCAAGUCGAACGAACCCUUCGGGGUUAGUGGCGGACGGGUGAGUAACACGUGGGAACGUGCCUUUAGGUUCGGAAUAACUCGGGGAAACUUGUGCUAAUACCGAAUGUGCCCUUCGGGGGAAAGAUUUAUCGCCUUUAGAGCGGCCCGCGUCUGAUUAGCUAGUUGGUGAGGUAAUGGCUCACCAAGGCUACGAUCAGUAGCUGGUCUGAGAGGAUGACCAGCCACAUUGGGACUGAGACACGGCCCAAACUCCUACGGGAGGCAGCAGUGGGGAAUCUUGCGCAAUGGGCGAAAGCCUGACGCAGCCAUGCCGCGUGGAUGAUGAAGGUCUUAGGAUUGUAAAAUCCUUUCACCGGUGAAGAUAAUGACUGUAGCUGGAGAAGAAGCCCCGGCUAACUUCGUGCCAGCCGCCGCGGUAAAAC